CCUGACUGCAACACCUGAGGUACCAGCUGCUCUACUUCUUCAUUAAUUACUCCUUGUUUGGGAAGAUUCUCACACAAAAUCAUUUUGGAGCCCACGGUCUGACCAGUUUCAAGUGACUGAGAUUGCCAUGCACUGAUACUCUUGAAGCUGUUUUCUAGUCGGAUGAACCAAGACUAGUUACCAUAACAACUGUGGUUAUUAUCACUGAGGUUAUACAUGUAUUGAGAGAAGACUUCUGCUUAUCCCCCAAAGUCCUCUGGCUAGCCUCUGGACACAGAGGAUGUCUCGUUGACUUCUUCGUCAAGGGUUAUAACAUAUGCAGCUGUAACACAGA